GUGCUCGCUUCAGCAGCACAUACGCUAAAAUUGGAAUGAUACAGAGAAGAUUAGCAUGGCCCUUGUGCAAGAAUGAUAUGCAAAUUUGUGAAGCAUUCCAUAUUUUU
rfam:Pteropus alecto contig68233, whole genome shotgun sequence.